rnacentral:rRNA from 1 species
GACGAACGCUGGCGGCGUGCUUAACACAUGCAAGUCGAACGGAAAGGCCCUGCUUUUGUGGGGUGCUCGAGUGGCGAACGGGUGAGUAACACGUGAGUAACCUGCCCUUGACUUUGGGAUAACUUCAGGAAACUGGGGCUAAUACCGGAUAGGAGCCCCUGCUGCAUGGUGGGGGUUGGAAAGUUUCGGCGGUCGGGGAUGGACUCGCGGCUUGUCAGCGUGUUGGUGGGGCAGUGGCUUACCAAGGCUUUGACGGGUAGCCGGCCUGAGAGGGUGACCGGCCACAUUGGGACUGGGAUACGGCCCAGACUCCUACGGGAGGCAGCAGUGGGGAAUAUUGCACAAUGGGCGGAAGCCUGAUGCAGCAACGCCGCGUGCGGGAUGACGGCCUUCGGGUUGUAAACCGCUUUCGCCUGUGACGAAGCGUGAGUGACGGUAAUGGGUAAAGAAGCACCGGCUAACUACGUG